CGGGCCGGGAGCCGGGCCGGGAGCCGAGAGCCAGAGCCGGAGACGGAGCUGGAGACGGAGCUGGAGACGGAGCCUGAGCCCAAGCCCGAGUCAGAGCGGGUCCCCUCGGCGAGCCCGGAACUCUCCUCACCUACCCACUUGGAACUCAUCUUUGAGCCAGACUGACUUCUUAGCAACAGUAAUAAUAAAACAGUAAGCAGUUGCCCAGGCUCAGGUAAUGUCUUGUAUGAGCUCCUAGACCUUUCUAGAAGAACCUAGUCACACCUCAGUGGUUCAUAAAACCUGGGUGUGGAGGGUAGUGUGGGGAAGAAACUAUCCCAAGCAGGGAAAGGACUGAAAAUAGAAUAUUGGGG
rnacentral:lncRNA from 1 species